CAUACGUCCUACGGGAGAAAGCAGGGGACCUUCGGGCCUUGCGCUAUCAGAUGAGCCUAGGUCGGAUUAGCUAGUUGGUGAGGUAAUGGCUCACCAAGGCUACGAUCCGUAACUGGUCUGAGAGGAUGAUCAGUCACACUGGAGCUGAGACACGGUCCAGACUCCUACGGGAGGCAGCAGUGGGGAAUAGUGGACAAUGGGCGAAAGCCUGAUCCAUCAAGGCCGCGUGUGUGAAGAAGGUCUUCGGAUUGUAAA
rnacentral:rRNA from 1 species